rnacentral:rRNA from 1 species
GAUGAACGCUGGCGGCGUGCCUAAUACAUGCAAGUCGAGCGAACAGACGAGGAGCUUGCUCCUCUGACGUUAGCGGCGGACGGGUGAGUAACACGUGGAUAACCUACCUAUAAGACUGGGAUAACUUCGGGAAACCGGAGCUAAUACCGGAUAAUAUAUUGAACCGCAUGGUUCAAUAGUGAAAGACGGUUUUGCUGUCACUUAUAGAUGGAUCCGCGCCGCAUUAGCUAGUUGGUAAGGUAACGGCUUACCAAGGCAACGAUGCGUAGCCGACCUGAGAGGGUGAUAGGCCACACUGGAACUGAGACACGGUCCAGACGCCUACGGGAGGCAGCAGUAGGGAAUCUGCCGCAAAGGGCGAAAGCCUGACGGAGCAACGCCGAGUGAGUGAUGAAGGUCUUCGGAUCGUAAAACUCUGUUAUUAGGGAAGAACAAAUGUGUAAGUAACUAUGCACGUCUUGACGGUACCUAAUCAGAAAGCCACGGCUAACUACGUG